rnacentral:rRNA from 1 species
UACGUAGGGCGCAAGCGUUGUCCGGAAUUAUUGGGCGUAAAGAGCUCGUAGGCGGCCUGUUGCGUCCGCUGUGAAAUCCCGGGGCUUAACCCCGGGCGUGCAGUGGAUACGGGCAGGCUGGAGGCAGGCAGGGGAGAACGGAAUUCCCGGUGUAGCGGUGAAAUGCGCAGAUAUCGGGAGGAACACCGGUGGCGAAGGCAGCUCGCUGGGACGGUACUGACGCUGAGGAGCGAAAGCGUGGGGAGCGAACAGG